GGCAACCUAGCUCACAGUAUUCAUUUUCAAAAAUAAAAUUUUACAUUCAUUUUCCUUUACGCCUUGUGCCCACCCACUUAAUUCCCCUUGCCUUUCAACCCCCAGCCCCACCAUCCCACCUCUGCGAAGUGUGAAAGAAUACAGACUCUUGAUACCUGACAAACCUGUGCUGAAAUCCAAACACUGCCCUGCCUGGAUAGUCUUGGAUAAGUUACCUCCCCUCGCUGACUCUCAGUCUCCUCUUCUGUAAGUGGGCUAAUAUUGCCUCUCUAGCAGGGUUGCUGUAACAGUUAGAGAUGAUGUGUGUGGCUGGCAUGGCCUCUGACACAAAGUAGGCAUUCUGAAAGUGUCAGCAGAAAUGCUGUUGUUCCUUCCAAGUGUAGCCCAUGGCCACCUCUGGCUCUCCACUCACACUCAGACUAACUUCCUGAGGAGUUUACAAUCAAUUUGUCUCUACAUCUCAGAUGUCACCAUACAAGCACCUUGGGUGUAUACAUCUCUAAAGAGUGGCAUUUCACCUCCAUUUCCACAAUCACUUUACACAAUUUCCACACUCUCACUGCUUCUAUAUUGGUUGAACUUGGAGGGAUUAACAAUGUCCUUAAAACACCUUAAAAAGGAGCAUCAACAGACAAAUCAUUCUGGAUCAAGACCAAAUGGCUCAGAGAUUAAAACACCUGUCCAUAAUCACUGACAUUAGCCACUGAUCAUGGGUUUACUCAUGCCUGUGAAAGUUCCCAGACUGAAAGUUCAUGAAUGAAGGAUUUUCUGGUCCUGGAUAUCAUCUUAUCCUCAAAGAUAGCCUGCAAACUCUUCACUGUUACUUAACUAAUAGUUUACGGGGGCUUCUCUGAUGCCUUCAGAUCAAGGCUAAAUUAUUGAGAGGUGGGAUUGGCUCUGCUUCACUGUGAGGAUUUGUGUGGGGGCAGGUGCAGGGCUUGGGAAACCCACGAAGCUGGGUCACAUAGGGGCUGGGAAGCCGCAGAGGGACAAUCUGCUGCUUGGAAGGUGUGUGCCCGGAAGUCUGAUGCUGGCAAGGGUCUCAGGCAAAACCUUGCCCAACGUCUGGCUAAUAUCCACUUACCCUGCAUGCAACGCAGUCCCUGUUCUAGGACCCCCUCCUCAAAACUGCGAACAGAGUCUGCCCUGUUUUUAGCUGGAAAAGUCUAGCUUUAAUACCUGACAUUGUGGGAGGAUUGCCACAGCCAUAUGCCAGGGGCUUGGAGAGUUUGUCUGCAGUGACAUAGUCCAGUUGCCACUCUGAACCUGCAGUGAUGUGUGGCCUGCAGAAGCCACAUAUGCCAUAUAGUUUGUUCCAAUGCAAAUCAAAAUGGAAAGGCACUCCUUUUGAUUUGGGUAGGCAAAGAAAAAAAA
rnacentral:lncRNA from 1 species